GCGAGUCAUUGUAGCAAUACAAGGCAGACGGCUCAGUAACGCGUAGUCAAUCUACCCUAUGGACGGGAAUAACCUCGGGAAACUGAGAAUAAUGCCCGACAGAACAUUAUACCUGGAACGGUUUAUGUUUCAAAUGAUUUAUCGCCGUAGGAUGGGACUGCGGCCUAUCAGUUUGUUGGUGAGGUAAUGGCCCACCAAGACUAUUACAGGUACGGGCUCUGAGAGGAGUAGCCCGGAGAUGGGUACUGAGACACGGACCCAGGCCCUAUGGGGCGCAGCAGGCGAGAAAACUUUGCAAUGUGCGAAGGCACGACAAGGUUAAUCCGAGUGGUUUCUGCUAAAGAAACCUUUUGCUAGUCCUAGAAACACUAGUGAAUAAGGGGUGGGCAAGUUCUGGUGUCAGCCGCCGCGGUAAAACCAGCACCUCAAGUGGUCAGGAUGAUUAUUGGGCCUAAAGCAUCCGUAGCUCGUUUUGUAAGUUUUCGGUUAAAUCCAUACGCUUAACGUAUGGGCUGCCGGGAAUACUGCAUAACUAGGAAGUGGGAGAGGUAGACGGUACUCGGUAGGAAGGGGUAAAAUCCUUUGAUCUAUUGAUGACCACCUGUGGCGAAGGCGGUCUACCAGAACACGUUCGACGGUGAGGGAUGAAAGCUGGGGGAGCAAACCGGAUUAGAUACCCGGGUAGUCCCAGCUGUAAACUAUGCAAACUCAGUGAUGCAUUGGCUUGUGGCCAAUGCAGUGCUGCAGGGAAGCCGUUAAGUUUGCCGCCUGGGAAGUACGUACGCAAGUAUGAAACUUAAAGGAAUUGGCGGGGGAGCACCACAAGGGGUGAAGCCUGCGGU
rnacentral:rRNA from 1 species